rnacentral:misc_RNA from 1 species
AGGAAAGUCCGGGCUCCAUAGAGCAGGGUGCCAGGUAAUGCCUGGGGAGCGUGAGCUCACGACAAGUGCAGCAGAGAGAAUACCGCCGAUGGCCUAUUUUAUAGUGCACAGGUAAGGGUGAAAGGGUGCGGUAAGAGCGCACCGUGCGUCUGGUAACAGUGCGUAGCAAGGUAAACUCCACCCGGAGCAAGACCAAAUAGGCUUCCACAUAGCGCGGCUCGCGUUUGGAGGCGGGUAGGUU